CGAGUCGGCUGGGCGGCCGCGUCGUCGUCCUCCGGGACGGCGCCGAGGAACGUCCGGGCUCCGCAGGGCAGGGUGGUGGGUAACGCCCACCCGGGGUGACCCGCGGGACAGUGCCACAGAGAGAAGACCGCCACGGACCGUCCUCGGACGGCCCGCGGUAAGGGUGAAACGGUGGUGCAAGAGACCACCAGCACCCCCGGUGACGGGGGUGGCUCGGCAAACCCCACCCGGAGCAAGACCAGACAGGCAGCGUCCGAGGGCGGCCCGCCCGAGCUGCCGGGUAGGUCGCUGGAGGCGUGCGGCGACGUACGCCCGAGAUGGAUGGUCGCCCCCUCGCCAGUGCCGGUGACGGCGGCGGGGGACAGAACCCGGCGUACAGGCCGGCUCGUCCG
rnacentral:RNase_P_RNA from 1 species